GCCUCGGUGGUGUAGUGGUAGCACGUGUCCCCGCUAUGGAUGAAAGGCGGGUUCGACUCCCAUCUCAGGCC